GACUAUUUACUUGGAUUUCUAAUGAAAGCAAGCUCAAAAUUGUUUCAUGAAGAAUUCAAAUCGACAAAUUGUAUCAUCCAAAUAGAAGGUUCACUUCAAAGUCAUGUGUUUAGAGAAGGAGGAUGAUGUGAAAUUGUGAAUCAAGUCAAAUCAUUAAGUUUUCAUUCAAUAAGUGAAGAAUGGUAUAAGUGGGACCCUUAUGCACUUGGGCAGCCCACCUUCAUCAAUUCCUCACGUGUUCAACUUCAUACUAUAGGAAUCUUGAGUGUUUUAUGGUGUCUUUAGGCUAUUAAUGUUUUGUGCAAACUUGAAACACCAUGAGAAAUGCAAGUUUAAAGUUAUUGGAAAUUAACCAUUGUUAGUGAGCUUGUUUUCCUAAAUUCUUGGUCGAACCAAGAUUAAAUUUUUAUCAAGAAUCCCAUAAUUCUUGUGACGAACAUCAUUUAGGCUUAUCAAACAAUUCUUUAUUUGUGGCGUUAAUCAUCUCACAUCUUUUAUGUAUUCUUAUUUUUCUAACAUUUCCACAAAACAUUACAAAAAUUCAAUCAAAAGACAACCCAAACCGAAUUGGUUGUCAUCAAGUGGUUACGAGAAUCUUUAA